AUUGAACGCUGGCGGCAGGCCUAACACAUGCAAGUCGAGCGGAUGAAGGGAGCUUGCUCCUGGAUUCAGCGGCGGACGGGUGAGUAAUGCCUAGGAAUCUGCCUGGUAGUGGGGGAUAACGUCCGGAAACGGGCGCUAAUACCGCAUACGUCCUGAGGGAGAAAGUGGGGGAUCUUCGGACCUCACGCUAUCAGAUGAGCCUAGGUCGGAUUAGCUAGUUGGUGGGGUAAAGGCCUACCAAGGCGACGAUCCGUAACUGGUCUGAGAGGAUGAUCAGUCACACUGGAACUGAGACACGGUCUAGACUCCUACGGGAGGCAGCAGUGGGGAAUAUUGGACAAUGGGCGAAAGCCUGAUCCAGCCAUGCCGCGUGUGUUAAGAAGGUCUUCGGAUUGUAAAGCACUUUAAGUUGGGAGGAAGGGCAGUAAGUUAAUACCUUGCUGUUUUGACGUUACCAACAGAAUAAGCACCGGCUAACUUCGUG
rnacentral:rRNA from 1 species